UACGGAGGGUGCGAGCGUUGUCCGGAAUCACUGGGCGUAAAGGGCGCGUAGGCGGCCUGAUAAGUCGGGGGUGAAAUUCUGCGGCUUAACCGCAGGACGGCCUUCGAGACUGUCGGGCUUGAGCACGGUAGAGGCAGGUGGAAUUCCCGGUGUAGCGGUGGAAUGCGUAGAGAUCGGGAAGAACACCGGAGGCGAAGGCGGCUUGCUGGGCUCGGUCUGACGCUGAGGCGCGAAAGCGUGGGGAGCGAACAGG
rnacentral:rRNA from 1 species